UACGUAGGGCGCAAGCGUUGUCCGGAAUUAUUGGGCGUAAAGAGCUCGUAGGCGGUCUGUUACGUCCGCUGUGAAAACCCAGGGCUUAACCCUGGGCUGGCAGUGGAUACGGGCAGACUAGAGGUAGGUAGGGGAGAAUGGAAUUCCCGGUGUAGCGGUGAAAUGCGCAGAUAUCGGGAGGAACACCAAUAGCGAAGGCAGCUCGCUGGGACGGUACUGACGCUGAGACGCGAAAGCGUGGGGAGCAAACAGG
rnacentral:rRNA from 1 species